ACUUUGAGUGUCAGAAGAGGAAAGUGGUAAUUUCCAUGUGUAGCGGUGAAAUUGCGUAGAGAUAUGGGAGGGAACACCAGUGGGCGAAGGGCGACUUUCUGGGUCUGUAACUGACACUGAGGCGCGAAAAGCGUGGGGAGCAAACAGGGACUUAGAUAGCCCUGGUAGUAUCAUCGCCGUAAACGAUGAGUGACUACAGUGUUAGAGGAGUUUCCGCCCUUUUAGUGCUGAGUGUUAACGCAUUAAGCACUCCGCCUGGGGAGUACGGCCGCAAGGCUGAAACUCAAAGGAAUUGACGGGGGCCCGCACAAGCGGUGGAGCAUGUGGUAUAAUUCGAAGCAACGCGAAGAACCUUACCAGGUCUUGACAUCCUCUGACAACCCUAGAGAUAGGGCUUCUCCUUCGGGAGCAGAGUGACAGGUGGUGCAUGGUUGUCGUCAGCUCGUGUCGUGAGAUGUUGGGUUAAGUCCCGCAACGAGCGCAACCCUUGAUCUUAGUUGCCAUCAUUAAGUUGGGCACUUUAAGGUGACUGCCGGUGACAAACCGGAGGAAGGUGGGGAUGACGUCAAAUCAUCAUGCCCCUUAUGACCUGGGCUACACACGUGCUACAAUGGACGGUACAAAGAGCUGCAAGACCGCGAGGUGGAGCUAAUCUCAUAAAACCGUUCUCAGUUCGGAUUGUAGGCUGCAACUCGCCUACAUGAAGCUGGAAUCGCUAGUAAUCGCGGAUCAGCAUGCCGCGGUGAAUACGUUCCCGGGCCUUGUACACACCGCCCGUCACACCACGAGAGUUUGUAAACCCAAGUCGGUGGGGUAA
rnacentral:rRNA from 1 species